rnacentral:lncRNA from 1 species
GGAGGGGCAUGGGGACAGAAACUGGUAAGGGUAUGAAGCUGCAGUGCUGUGGCUGGGGCAGCAGUGUGGGUUUGCCAGCCUUAUUUGAUUGUGAUUGUUGCUGAAGGGCCUCCACCAGCCUGAUCAAGCCUUUGUGUGCCAACGGUGUGUUCAGACUGCAGUGGAGGAUCAGGAUGCCACAUUCCACACAGGAGAAUCAAUCUGAAGGUGGAAACUAAGGAGUUAGGCUGGCUGAAGUAAUGUAAUGCAUCCCAUAUGUAGGCAUUCCUGCACUGCCUGUAGUGUCUGUCAGCGUCUCAUAUUCUGGACCUUGAAGUUGAUUCCUCGGCAGCCAGUUGCAUCCUGGGAAGGCUGUUCCAUGGGUCCAGGCUGGGAGUGAAUCUCAAAUGUAUUUUCUUGAUUCCUUGUGUCCUUUCUCCUUGAUUCCUUCUCCAAGUUCAUUGGGGAACAAGGUCUAAGGGGAGGAAAAUUUGACCAUUUCUUCCAAUGUGUUUUGAGAAGGAGCGAGGAGAGAGGACAGGGGCAAUCAAGGAAAUACAAUUGAGAUUCACCCAGGGGCUCUCCUCCUGUCCUGCGUCGCCCUGCUCUCAUUGGCAGACCGAUCGUCAGCUCCAGCAGCUGCGUCUCUGUCUAUCUGUCGGCCUCACCCUCGGCCCCUCGGGACAUUUAG